UAGCAUAUCAAUAAGCGGAGGAAAAGAAACCAACAGGGAUUGCUCUAGUAACGGCGAGUGAAGCAGCAAUAGCUCAAAUUUGAAAUCUGGCGUCUUCGACGUCCGAGUUGUAAUUUGUAGAGGAUGCUUCUGAGUAACCACCGACCUAAGUUCCUUGGAACAGGACGUCAUAGAGGGUGAGAAUCCCGUAUGCGGUCGGAAAGGUGCUCUAUACGUAGCUCCUUCGACGAGUCGAGUUGUUUGGGAAUGCAGCUCUAAAUGGGAGGUAAAUUUCUUCUAAAGCUAAAUAUUGGCCAGAGACCGAUAGCGCACAAGUAGAGUGAUCGAAAGAUGAAAAGCACUUUGGAAAGAGAGUUAAAAAGCACGUGAAAUUGUUAAAAGGGAAGGGAUUGCAACCAGACUUGCUCGCGGUGUUCCGCCGGUCUUCUGACCGGUCUACUCGCCGCGUUGCAGGCCAGCAUCGUCUGGUGCCGCUGGAUAAGACUUGAGGAAUGUAGCUCCCUCGGGAGUGUUAUAGCCUCUUGUGAUGCAGCGAGCGCCGGGCGAGGUCCGCGCUUCGGCUAGGAUGCUGGCGUAAUGGUCGUAAUCCGCCCGUCUUGAAACACGGACCAAGGAGUCUAACAUCUAUGCGAGUGUUCGGGUGUCAAACCCCUACGCGUAAUGAAAGUGAACGGAGGUGAGAACCGCAAGGUGCAUCAUCGACCGAUCCUGAUGUCUUCGGAUGGAUUUGAGUAAGAGCAUAGCUGUUGGGACCCGAAAGAUGGUGAACUAUGCCUGAAUAGGGUGAAGCCAGAGGAAACUCUGGUGGAGGCUCGCAGCGGUUCUGACGUGCAAAUCGAUCGUCAAAUUUGGGUAUAGGGGCGAAAGACUAAUCGAACCAUCUAGUAGCUGGUUCCUGCCGAA
rnacentral:rRNA from 1 species